rnacentral:rRNA from 1 species
GCAAGUCGAACGAUGAAGCUGUAGCUUGCUACAGUGGAUUAGUGGCGCACGGGUGAGUAAUAUAUAGAUAAUGUGCCUCUUAGUCUGGGAUAGCCAUUGGAAACGAUGAUUAAUACUAGAUACUCCUUCUGAUUCUAAUUUCAGUCGGGAAAGUUUUUCGCUAAGAGAUCAGUCUAUAUCCCAUCAGUUAGUUGGUAGGGUAAUGGCCUACCAAGACAAUGACGGGUAGCGGGUUUGAGAGGAUGAUC